AGUUGUUAUCACUUUGAGUUGGCUUUUAAGUUGUCGGAUAUGAUGUAUUCUUUGCUUAGAAAUAUCAUUUAUCUAUUGCAUGAUCCAUCUAAAAGGCACUGUUAUUUACUCAGCUCUUUAUUUCUACCUAUACAAUGUUUUGUGGUGACACUAACUAGUGACAAGUUGAGAAUUUAUGUUUCUAGCUAUACAAUGUUAUGCUUAUUUUUAGAACUUUGUUUAGAAAACUCUGAGGAUCUUGUGUGUAUUUUAACCUUGAGUGAUUUAUCCUGCCAAGAUAUCCGACUUUGGCCUAGCAAAGAACGGUCCAACACAGGUUAUGGCAACAUAUGGCUAUGCUGCUCCAGAAUAUAUUGCCACAGGUGAAUCUUCCCAAACUUCAUUUAGUUGUUGAACUGAGAGAAAUCAGAAUAAAAUUUGUGAUCGCAGUGUAAUGAGUUGGUUAUUGCAGAGCACUUGGGUAAUGUAUCUCGUCUUAAAAAACUGGUGAGGGGGAUGCACAAACAUGUGUUGAACAGUUUUGAAAGUAUGCAAGGAUUUGAAGAGUGGCAGGUAAUUCAGUUGUUAUCACUUUGAGUUGGCUUUUAAGUUGUUGGAUAUGAUGUAUUCUUUGCUUAGAAAUAUCAUUUAUCUAUUGCAUGAUCCAUCUAAAAGGCACUGUUAUUUACUCAGCUCUUUAUUUCUACCUAUACAAUGUUUUGUGGUGACACUAACUAGUGACAAGUUGAGAAUUUAUGUUUCUAGCUAUACAAUGUUAUGCUUAUUUUUAGAACUUUGUUUAGAAAACUGAGAGGAU
rnacentral:lncRNA from 1 species